rnacentral:tRNA from 1 species
GGUGGGCCAUGGCUCAGUGGCAGGGCAUCUGCUUGGUAAAUAUUAGAUCCCAGGUUUGAUCCCUGGUGUCUCCA